rnacentral:rRNA from 1 species
UACGAAGGGGGCUAGCGUUGCUCGGAAUCACUGGGCGUAAAGGGCGCGUAGGCGGAUCUUUAAGUCAGGGGUGAAAUCCCAGAGCUCAACUCUGGAACUGCCUUUGAUACUGGGUAUCUUGAGUAUGGAAGAGGUAAGUGGAAUUGCGAGUGUAGAGGUGAAAUUCGUAGAUAUUCGCAGGAACACCAGUGGCGAAGGCGGCUUACUGGUCCAUAACUGACGCUGAGGUGCGAAAGCGUGGGGAGCAAACAGG